UACGAAGGGGGCUAGCGUUGCUCGGAAUCACUGGGCGUAAAGGGUGCGUAGGCGGGUUUUUAAGUCAGGGGUGAAAUCCUGGAGCUCAACUCCAGAACUGCCUUUGAUACUGAAGAUCUUGAGUCCGGGAGAGGUGAGUGGAACUGCGAGUGUAGAGGUGAAAUGCGUAGAUAUCUGCAGGAACACCCGUGGCGAAAGCGGCGCGCUGGACCACUACUGACGCUGAGGAACGAAAGCUAGGGGAGCAAACAGG
rnacentral:rRNA from 1 species